rnacentral:rRNA from 1 species
CACCAGACUCCUACGGGAGGCAGCAGUGGGGAAUAUUGGGCAAUGGGCGCAAGCCUGACCCAGCAACGCCGCGUGAAGGAAGAAGGCUUUCGGGUUGUAAACUUCUUUUAAGAGGGAAGAGAAGAAGACGGUACCUCUUGAAUAAGCCACGGCUAACUACGUGCCAGCAGCCGCGGUAAUACGUAGGUGGCGAGCGUUGUCCGGAAUUACUGGGUGUAAAGGGAGCGUAGGCGGGAGAGCAAGUCGACUGUGAAAUCUAUGGGCUUAACCCAUAGCUGCGAUCGAAACUGUUCAUCUUGAGUGAAGUAGAGGCAGGCGGAAUUCCUAGUGUAGCGGUGAAAUGCGUAAAUAUUAGGAGGAACACCAGUGGCGAAGGCGGCCUGCUGGGCUUUAACUGACGCUGAGGCUCGAAAGCGCGGGUAGCAAACAGGAUUAGAUACCCGCGUACCG